GAUAAACGCUGGCGGCGCACAUAAGACAUGCAAGUUGAACGGACUUAAUCGAACUAUUUCUAUUUUGAAGCGGUUAGUGGCGGACUGGUGAGUAACGCGUAAGGAACCUGCCUAUUAGAGGGGAAUAACAGUGAGAAAUCAUUGCUAAUACCGCAUAUGCCAUAGAUAUCACAUGAUAACAGUGGGAAAGGAGCAAUCCGCUAAUAGAUGGCCUUGCGUCUGAUUAGAUAGUUGGUGGGGUAACGGCCUACCAAGUCGACGAUCAGUAGCCGGACUGAGAGGGUGGACGGCCACAUUGGGACUGAGAUACGGACCAGACUCCUACGGGAGGCAGCAGGCGGGAAGAUUGCGCAAUGGAGGAAACUCUGACGCAGUGACGCCGCGUAGAGGAAGAAGGUUUUCGGAUUGUAAACUAUUGUCGUUAGGGAAGAGAAAGGACAGUACCUAAGGAGGAAGCUCCGGCUAACUACGUG
rnacentral:rRNA from 1 species